rnacentral:rRNA from 13 species
GGACUCUAGGGAAACUGCCGGUGAUAAGCCGGAGGAAGGCGGGGAUGACGUCAAGUCCUCAUGGCCCUUACGGGUUGGGCUACACACGUGCUACAAUGGUAACUACAGAGGGCAGCGACUUAGCGAUAAGUAGCCAAUCCCAAAAAGUUAUCUCAGUUCGGAUUGCACUCUGCAACUCGAGUGCAUGAAGUUGGAAUCGCUAGUAAUCGUGGAUCAGCAUGCCACGGUGAAUACGUUCCCGGGCCU